GAUGAACGCUGGCGGCGUGCCUAAUACAUGCAAGUCGAGCGAACGGACGAGAAGCUUGCUUCUCUGAUGUUAGCGGCGGACGGGUGAGUAACACGUGGAUAACCUACCUAUAAGACUGGGAUAACUUCGGGAAACCGUAGCUAAUACCGGAUAAUAUUUUGAACCGCAUGGUUCAAAAGUGAAAGACGGUCUUGCUGUCACUUAUAGAUGGAUCCGCGCUGCAUUAGCUAGUUGGUAAGGUAACGGCUUACCAAGGCAACGAUGCAUAGCCGACCUGAGAGGGUGAUCGGCCACACUGGAACUGAGACACGGUCCAGACUCCUACGGGAGGCAGCAGUAGGGAAUCUGCCGCAAUGGGCGAAAGCCUGACGGAGCAACGCCGCGUGAGUGAUGAAGGUCUUCGGAUCGUAAAACUCUGUUAUUAGGGAAGAACAUAUGUGUAAGUAACUGUGCACAUCUUGACGGUACCUAAUCAGAAAGCCACGGCUAACUACGU
rnacentral:rRNA from 1 species